CCCCACUUGUGCCCUCUCACAGUCUGGGACCCCUCGGGAGAUAACCACCUGCUGGCUUAGGCCCGCUCCCCAGGUGGCAGAUGACAGGCCUGAUCCUUUGGUGCCUGCCCCGCCUCCCUGGGUUGCGCACUUGGCAGGGCCGAUCCAGGGGUUGGGGCACUGCCCCGGGUCGGGUCGCACACAGACGCCCGCCACCCCGGGUCACAAAUAGCAGGCCCAGAUGGUGGCAGGGCAGGCGGGAUGGAGCUGUCCUGCCCUGCCUGCAGUAUGCAAAUUAGCCGCCAUCUUUGUUGGCGGUUAAUUUGCAUAUUGUGCUGAUUAGCCAAUGGGAGGCAUAGCGAAGGUACAGUCAAUUACCAUGUUUGUCUAUUAUUAGAUAGGAAUUUUGGGACAACCCAAAUUCCCUAAUGUUAAAUUUGGGGACACAAGUAAAAUAAACAUGUUAAUCUGAAACUCUGUAUCAUAGAUACAGAUAGUGAUUAUAGCCUUGUGACUUUGCUAAUAAUAUUUAUUAUGAUAAUCUAUGGCAUCUCUCCAGGAAGAUUUCUCAGAUUCAUCUGUGCAGAUUAAAGUUCAUUCUGUUUAUCAAAAUGCUGGCAAUGACUCUCUGACAUUGAAAGGUGUGCUUUUGCCCUUCUGUUUUCAUGAGAAAAGUCUGCCUUCAUUUACUAAUGAACGUCCCUUUGAUUUUCUUCCUUCCACCUACUCAUACUGCACUUGUUCAUUAGAUAGGAAAACCCUGUACUAUGUAGAACAAAAUAAAGACAUUUAAAUGUGUGGUUGGACAGACUUAUUUUUAAUCUGAGUCGUUUGGUGUAACACUUUGUGUGAGGUAAUAAUUAAAGUUCUGAUAAAACUUACCAAAAUGGAGCUUUUAGUUGACUAUUUAAUAACUUAAAGAUUUUAGGGUGUUAGUAGAAUAAAAAUAGAUUUCACUAUCUUGAGUCCCACUCUCUGGCUUAAUAUAGUAUAUUUGUUUUCCUGAGAAAACUUUCAUUUCACUAGAAAUUUAUUUCAGGGGAACAAAACACAGACACGUGUGUAUGUGUAUUACAUAUGUGCUUGCUGGGAGACUAGGGAAGUAGAAGGUUAGCAUUGAGAAGAGGAGAGUAAAAUUUAAGAAAUGGUGCAAAGGAAAAUCUCUGCAUCCAUUUGAGUGUCCGGUGUGUAUGCCCUUCUUAAAUUAGUGCAGGGAAAGAAAUGUUCUGGUCAUCUUUAAAAACGCUUAAUAUAUGGUUUGUUCUAAUGCGUGGACACUAAUUUUGGUAAAAGGAAGUUUACAGAGAAAGAAAAAAUAUUUCCCAUUAUCACACCAAAAAAAUAACCCCCCGUGUACGUAACAUUUAAAAUCUUAUCCUUUUUGGUUUAGAGUAAAGCACCUGACAAAAAUAGUUUGUGAGCCAAGAAGGGUCUAUUUUUUUUUUUUAAAUAUUUAUAUUUAUUGAUUUCAGAGAGGAAGGGAGAGGAAGAGAGAGAUAGAAACAUUGAUGAGAGAAUAUCAUUGAUUGGCUGCCUCCUGCAAGCCCUACACUGGGGAUCGAGCUGGCAACCCAAGCUUGUGCCCUGACUGGGAAUUGAACCAUGACCUCCUGGUUCACAGGUCAACACUCAAAGGUCUAUUUUUCACAAGCUUUCAGAUCGCCAACAUAUAGGGAGUGCUGACUGUGCAAGGACGCUUUCAUUGGAAUUGAGUUCUAUUUCACGUUGGAAAUGGGAAUAUACAAGCAGGCACGUUGACAAGCCCUAGCCACAUACAUGCUGGUGGUGAAGUACCAAAAGCUACAACAUUUUUUAAAAAAAGAAGAAGAAAAGGAAGAAGCAAAUGGAGCCCCACAUGAUGCUUGGAUCCCAGUUAAAUGCCCAUCUGUGAGCUCGGCACCCGAGAUAGUGAGGCAGAAGCACUGGUUAGAGGGUGCAGCUGCCGUGGUUUGGGAGAUGGGAAAGAGGUACUGAAGCGGCUUUGCUCAUGCAAGACUCACUCCUGAGGGCUUGAUUUUUUUCUGGCACUAGUUUGGCCACUAAGCUCAAGUUUACCCAUUAGGAUCUUAAAUUAAAACCGCCAGCAAUGUGUCUCAUCCCUUUUCCUGCUUUAGCAGGCAAGGCAAAAACCAUUCCCCGAACAUGCUCCUGUGGCCAUGCCAGGGUCAUGUGUGAUUUCAGGUGCGCUCCUUUCUCUCCCGGGGAAAGCAUGUUAGAAUGUAGAAGGGCACGACUAAAUGCUGGAGAUGCCCCACUGCAUGCAGGAAACCCACCACCCACGAACUCAGGUACCCAAUGCAACCUGAUUUUUGCCAUGUUCACCCUGUAGAUUGAUCAAACCCCGUUCUUCUGACUUGAUCAAGUCCAAUGUCAUUCUCAGGUUCCCCGCAUCCCUAGGUAGCACAUCCUCUCCUCCGAACUCUGCCCUUGAAGCACUGCCUCUGCUGGGUGAGAUCAGUUUGGUGACCACCUCACCAGCCGGUGUGGGCUGUCCUAUGUGCACGCUAGCCAGAUGUGAAGCUUUGCCCCAUCCUCAUUUUGGCAAAUAUUCACUCCUAGAAAACAGAUUUUAGCAAAGGUGUGAGAAGACAAGAGACUGACCCUGCAGCAGCAUAGACAUUUUGCAUUUGCAUUAUUAGGAUCUUUCAAAUGCUUUGGUCAUUUCUGGAUCCCGGGAUUCAGGUCCUUUUUCUCUUCUCCUUUUCCCUUCCUGCCCCCCACUACCCCCUCUUCUCUUCCCCUCCCUUCCUUCACUCUACCCUCCGCCACUCUCCUCCCCACUCCCCUCCCUUACCUUCUCAGCUUUGUUUCUCAGGAGCAAAACUCCAGUUCCUAAGGGAGUCCAGGGUAAUGUUUCCUCUUUCUACUGUCGCUGAAGGAAAUCCGCCCCCUCCCCCCACCCCCGCCCUGCCCCUCAAAAUUAUUUUCUAGGUGCAGUUGCGGAGAAAGGUAACCAGGAGCAGAAAAGACAGUGGAAGACUUCAGGACUGACAUAAGCCUUCAGACACGUCUGCAUUUACUUAGACCCCUCAGAGGAAGCCUGAGAGGCAGGAUAGAGGGGUGUUAGGCACAGCCUCGAGUUUGAGAUUUCCUGGUUGGAUCCAGCCCCAAGCCUGCUGCAGGUCGCAGGAGGCAGGCACUUUAUCCUCUGAGUGCCCAUUUCUUUGCCUGUGAAAUGACAGAAAUACAUCCAAUCUUCAACUCUGAAAUUCAACCUCUGAACACAGAGAAGGGCGCGCACAGCCCAUGGAAUCCACUUGAGAGUAAAUCAGUAAUUGCCAUCACAAGCUUUGCAUUCAUUCGGUCUCCAGUUGACUGUGGGUAACUGAAACUGUGGACAGCAAAACUGAAGAUAGGAGGGGAUUCCUACAUUUUCUGGCCAGGUAAGAACUGGAAGGCUUUACAAUGGAUUUGGAAGGAGAGGAUAGUGGCAUAAAGAACAGCAUGCACACAGAGGCAGAAAGGCGUGAAAGUCCAAGGCAUGCUUGGGGAAUGGCUAAUUGCCCUUUGUGCCGGGUACCUCAGAUGGCUAGAACGGGAAUCAGCAUUUGUAAAGGCUGGAGAAAUAGGCCAGAAUUGGGUUGUGAUUGCUUUUCCAUGGAAUUUAGAAUUUUUUCAGAAUUAUUUUAAAGGCAAAUCUUAUACAGCAAACCUUCAAAUAACAUCAUAGUUAAGGUAUAGUUUAUUGGACUUUAAAGUUUGAGUAUGAGUUUCCUAAGUAGCCAAGUAUUGAGAAUUUAGGGUUUAGAAACAGAAUUAUUCUUUCUUAAACUAAGUUAUAUUAUGACCAACUAAAUGUCAACUCGUACUUGCUGAACUGUAUAUGGUUGUGUAGGCUAUGAUUAUAAUAUCAAUGAUAAAAAUAAUAGCACGAGUAAUAAUAAUACCAUCUAACAUUUAUUGACAGUGUUUUAUGUGCCAGAAACUAUUAUGACUCUUUUAGCCCAUUAGCAUAUUUAAUUCUCACAACACCUCUUUGAGGCAGAUACUAUUACAAUUACCUCAGAAAAUAUUUUUCUAAACAAGUAAAAACAUGAUACCAAUGGUAAUGGUAGGCUAUGUUAUUUUCUUUAUGUUGUGGACCUCAAGAAGAAAGAUUCAUUUGAUGUGAACCCAGAGAAGAAAUGUAUCUGCUGCGAUGGACUCCCCACGGUCUCAAACUAGGUGAAAUCAGUGGAGCAGCCACAUUUUACGAACACUGAGAGUCUAGCAGCUGACAGGGGCGCCCCACGUUCUGCUUAUCCCAGGAAGAACUUCAGACUGAACUCUUGGCUUCCUAAGCAAUGCUCUACUUUACACUGCCUGAGCCAACUGUUAUAAGGGGGUUCCUGGUAUCCUCUUCCCACCAGUGGACCAAGACCUGCCCCAUGCAAUCAGAACUGCUCCGUAACAACCAAUCAGGAUGCAUAAUGCUGACCAACCAGGACUGUACAGUUCAGAAGUGUAUGAAUUUGGAUAUUUCUUUACAUGACAUGGACCUAAUUAGGAACUGUGUCAGGAACUUUCUAGCUACAAAAAGUGCCCUUCCCUUUGUGUAGGCAGAACAUAACUUAGGUUGCUAACUCAACCUGCGUCUCCUGGGCUGCAUUUGCUCAAAUAAAUGUUUAUUACUCUUUA